UCUUUUGUAGUAUAGUGGCCAGUAUUUGAGCUUGUCAAGCGUUUAAUUACAGCUCGCUCGGAACCUGGGUUCAAUUCCUAGCAGGAGAC